rnacentral:misc_RNA from 1 species
UUCAUUACAGUAAGCCUAUGGCUUCGGGGGCGAACAAGCCAGGCGCGGUCGACCCUUCGGGGCGUGGCAGCGUCGCGGCUCCCCGAAUCGUUAUGCUUUAGCGGGUGUGUUGCGGCCCUCGAGGCCCCGGACCGGCUCGACAGUGGUCAGCCGGCACGGGAACCAGCUCCGGGAGGUGUAGGGCUCCUCGUGGAGCCCUUUCACGCGCACAUGACUGAAUCCUUACUCUACUCGUACCUCUCGUUCUCCCUCGGCGGGCGACCUGCCGUGGGAACCGCAAACGAACCCUUCUUUGCAUCUAGCAUUACCUGUUCCGAUACCCACAAUCGUUA